rnacentral:lncRNA from 10 species
CAGCAGUCAAGGCAAAGAGUCACCAUCUAGGCAGCCUGGAAACAAUUUCAUACUUAUUGGAAGAUGUGACCUUGAAAUGUUCCUUACUUGCAAAAAGACAAAUAUUCUCGGAGCCGGGUGUUAGCUGGUGGACUCAUCUGUCCUGCCUGCCCUUCGAUUGGAGGCCACUGCAGGCAGAAUGCAGACUGGAGUGGAGCAAGUGUGGUACUUAUUUUUUACAUUUCCAGACUUUAGGGUAAAAGGUCAUUAAUUAGGAGAAGAUUUAUCUCAAGGAAACGUAUGAUCUGUGGGUAGUGUGGUCAAAGAUGACUUCUGCAGAUAAAAACAUCAUCUUGUAUGCAAGGGCGUGGUGAAAACCUCUGCUACCAUACUGGAUACAAGGUCUUUAACUUCUCAGCACCAGUUUUAUGGAGCCCCCACCGCUAAGCAAGUAUGCAAAAUGCAGUGCUGCUUCGCAUUGGGAAAUCCCCAAUCUGGUGCCAAGAGGUUCAUAAAUACAGUAAUGGACCCUCUUAUGUCAAAAGUGAGUACUGUUUAACAGCGUAAGUUGGAACAGCCUUCAGGAUGCUUUGCAGCUGCAGUUGUUCCACUGCAAGACAUCACAAACUUCAUGAUGAUGGUUGUCACACCAGGUCCUGGAAAGGCAACCUACUUCAGUCUGCAAAGUGAACUAAAAGGGAAUGGUUGUUCAUACAUGGCCCUGAUGCCACUGACAUAAGAAACGCAAUGACAAGAGCGAUGAAGUAGGAAUUUGGUGGCAGAUGGUCAGGUCUGCAGGAAGUGUCCACCCAGCUUUGUUUGGCCCAUAUUCUGAAACAACUAGAAUAAACACUUAGUGUCAUAAUUUAUAAGCAUAUCAGUACCAAUAAAUCAGAAUCAUGCAAACAGUCAUGUUUAUUAUAUUCUUGUUGCUUAAUAUUCAUGACAGUAAUUUAUUUUUAUAGUACAGUUUUACUGUUCUCUCCACCAUUGCUCUCUGCAUUUAAGGCUGGCAAGUUGUACUAGCAGAAGUUCAGGUAACCCUUUGAAGACUGCAAAAUUCAUUAGCCUGGUCAAAAGACUUGAUUUGCUCAUUUAAUUUUUCCCUUUUUCUCUCAUAAACUUUUAAGCCACUGAGAUGAAAUUUCUGGAAACUAAGUAGUAAUAAUACUUCUUCGACAUGUAGAAAAUGUGAAUACU